rnacentral:rRNA from 1 species
UACGAAGGGGGCUAGCGUUGCUCGGAAUCACUGGGCGUAAAGCGCACGUAGGCGGCUUUCUAAGUCAGGGGUGAAAUCCUGGAGCUCAACUCCAGAACUGCCUUUGAUACUGGAAAGCUUGAGUUCGGGAGAGGUGAGUGGAACUGCGAGUGUAGAGGUGAAAUUCGUAGAUAUCAGGAAGAACACCCGUGGCGAAAGCGGCUCUCUGGAACGGUACUGACGCUGAGACGCGAAAGCGUGGGGAGCGAACAGG